rnacentral:rRNA from 1 species
UGGGGAAUUUUGGACAAUGGGCGAAAGCCUGAUCCAGCAAUGCCGCGUGUGUGAAGAAGGCCUUCGGGUUGUAAAGCACUUUUGUCCGGAAAGAAAUCCUUGGCUCUAAUACAGUCGGGGGAUGACGGUACCGGAAGAAUAAGCACCGGCUAACUACGUGCCAGCAGCCGCGGUAAUACGUAGGGUGCAAGCGUUAAUCGGGAAUUACUGGGCGUAAAGCGUGCGCGGGCGGUUUGCUAAGACCGAUGUGAAAUCCCCGGGCUCAACCUGGGAACUGCAUUGGUGACUGGCAGGCUAGAGUAUGGCAGAGGGGGGUAGAAUUCCACGUGUAGCAGUGAAAUGCGUAGAGAUGUGGAGGAAUACCGAUGGCGAAGGCAGCCCCCUGGGCCAAUACUGACGCUCAUGCACGAAAGCGUGGGGAGCAAACAGGAUUAGAUACCCUGGUAGUCCACGCCCUAAACGAUGUCAACUAGUUGUUGGGGAUUCAUUUCCUUAGUAACGUAGCUAACGCGUGAAGUUGACCGCCUGGGGAGUACGGUCGCAAGAUUAAAACUCAAAUGAAUUGACGGGGUCAUAGCUGUUUCCU